rnacentral:rRNA from 1 species
UUUGACUCCGUGGCUCAGAGCGAACGCUGGCGGCAGGCUUAACACAUGCAAGUCGAGCGCCGUAGCAAUACGGAGCGGCAGACGGGUGAGUAACGCGUGGGAACGUACCUUCUGGUUCGGAAUAACUCAGGGAAACUUGAGCUAAUACCGGAUAAGCCCUUCGGGGGAAAGAUUUAUCGCCGGAAGAUCGGCCCGCGUAAGAUUAGCUAGUUGGUGAGGUAAUGGCUCACCAAGGCUACGAUCUUUAGCUGGUCUGAGAGGAUGAUCAGCCACAUUGGGACUGAGACACGGCCCAAACUCCUACGGGAGGCAGCAGUGGGGAAUAUUGGACAAUGGGCGCAAGCCUGAUCCAGCCAUGCCGCGUGAGUGAUGAAGGCCUUAGGGUUGUAAAGCUCUUUUAGCAGGGACGAUAAUGACGGUACCUGCAGAAAAAGCCCCGGCCAACUUCGUG